UACAGAGGUCUCAAGCGUUGUUCGGAUUCAUUGGGCGUAAAGCGUGCGCAGGCGGCUUCUCAAGUCAGGGGUGAAAGCCCAGAGCUCAACUCUGGAAUUGCCUUUGAGACUGAGUGGCUUGAGUACGAGAGAGGUGAGUGGAAUUCCCAGUGUAGAGGUGAAAUUCGUAGAUAUUGGGAAGAACACCGGUGGCGAAGGCGACUUACUGGACACAUAUUGACGCUGAGGUGCGAAAGCGUGGGGAGCAAACAGG
rnacentral:rRNA from 1 species